rnacentral:rRNA from 1 species
AGACCGAUAGUGAACCAGUACUGUGAAGGAAAGGUGAAAAGCACUUCGAACAGAAGAGUGAAAUAGUUCCUGAAACCGUGUGCCUACAACCGGUCAAAGCCCCAUAUGAGGGUGAUGACGUGCUUUUUGUAGAACGAGCCAACGAGUUACGGUAUGUAGCAAGGUUAAGUACUUAAGGUACGGAGCCGAAGGGAAACCGAGUCUUAAUAGGGCGACUAGUUGCAUGCCGUAGACCCGAAACCGGGUGACCUAUCCAUGGCCAGGUUGAAGCGAGGGUAAAACUUCGUGGAGGACCGAACCACGUUGCUGUUGAAAAAGCAUGGGAUGAGCUGUGGAUAGCGGAGAAAUUCCAAUCGAACUCGGAGAUAGCUGGUUCUCCCCGAAAUAGCUUUAGGGCUAGCGUCGGAUAUGUGUAGUGGAGGUAGAGCACUGAAUGGGCUAGGGGGCAUAUCGCUUACCGAACCUUAUCAAACUCCGAAUGCCAUAUACAUUUAGUCCGGCAGUCAGACUACGAAUGAUAAGAUCCGUGGUCAAAAGGGAAACAGCCCAGAUCGUCAGCUAAGGUCCCAAAGUGUAAGUUAAGUGGAAAAGGAUGUGGGAUUUCUAAGACAACUAGGAUGUUGGCUUAGAAGCAGCCACUCAUUUAAAGAGUGCGUAAUAGCUCACUAGUCGAGAGAUCCUGCGCCGAAAAUGUCCGGGGCUAAAACUUACCACCGAAGCUACGGGCUUGCGUAAGCAAGCGGUAGGGGAGCGUCGUAAUCGGGCUGAAGUCGUACCGUAAGGAGCGGUGGACUGAUUACGAGUGAGAAUGUUGGCAUUAGUAGCGAGAUGUAGGUGAGAAUCCUACAGGCCGAAUAUCUAAGGUUUCCUCAGGAAGGCUCGUCCGCUGAGGGUUAGUCGGGACCUAAGCCGAGGCCGAAAGGCGUAGGCGAUGGACAACAGGUUGAUAUUCCUGUACCACUACCAUCGUUAUUAUCGAGGGUGUGACGGAGAAGGAUAGUGUGUGCUAGCGAUUGGAAAUGCUAGUCUAAGCGUUUAGGCAGUUACGGUAGGCAAAUCCGCUGUAAUGUUAAUGCUGAGGCGUGAUGGGGAAGGCCCUUGAGGCUGAAGUACAUGAUUCCAUGCUUCCAAGAAAAGCAUCUAGAGAGAGAAGUAGUGCCCGUACCGCAAACCGACACAGGUAGAUGAGGAGAGAAUCCUAAGGCCGGCGGAAGAAUUGCAGUUAAGGAACUAGGCAAAUUGACCCCGUAAGUUCGCGAGAAGGGGUGCCUGCGAGAGCAGGCCGCAGAGAAUAGGCCCAAGCAACUGUUUAGCAAAAACACAGGUCUCUGCUAAAGCGCAAGCUGAUGUAUAGGGGCUGACGCCUGCCCGGUGCUGGAAGGUUAAGGGGAACACUUAGCGCAAGCGAAGGUGUGAACUUAAGCCCCAGUAAACGGCGGCCGUAACUAUAACGGUCCUAAGGUAGCGAAAUUCCUUGUCAGGUAAGUUCUGACCCGCACGAAUGG